AACGAACGCUGGCGGCAGGCUUAACACAUGCAAGUCGAACGCCCCGCAAGGGGCGUGGCAGACGGGUGAGUAACGCGUGGGAACAUACCCUUUCCUGCGGAAUAGCUCCGGGAAACUGGAAUUAAUACCGCAUACGCCCUACGGGGGAAAGAUUUAUCGGGGAAGGGUUGGCCCGCGUUGGAUUAGCUAGUUGGUGGGGUAAAGGCCUACCAAGGCGACGAUCCAUAGCUGGUCUGAGAGGAUGAUCAGCCACAUUGGGACUGAGACACGGCCCAAACUCCUACGGGAGGCAGCAGUGGGGAAUAUUGGACAAUGGGCGCAAGCCUGAUCCAGCCAUGCCGCGUGAGUGAUGAAGGCCUUAGGGUUGUAAAGCUCUUUCACCGAUGAAGAUAAUGACGGUAGUCGGAGAAGAAGCCCCGGCUAACUUCGUG
rnacentral:rRNA from 1 species